rnacentral:rRNA from 1 species
AUUGAACGCUGGCGGCAGGCUUAACACAUGCAAGUCGAGCGGAGUGAUGGUGCUUGCACUAUCACUUAGCGGCGGACGGGUGAGUAAUGCUUAGGAAUCUGCCCAUUAGUGGGGGACAACAUCUCGAAAGGGAUGCUAAUACCGCAUACGUCCUACGGGAGAAAGCAGGGGAUCACUUGUGACCUUGCGCUAAUAGAUGAGCCUAAGUCGGAUUAGCUAGUUGGUGGGGUAAAGGCCUACCAAGGCGACGAUCUGUAGCGGGUCUGAGAGGAUGAUCCGCCACACUGGGACUGAGACACGGCCCAGACUCCUACGGGAGGCAGCAGUGGGGAAUAUUGGACAAUGGGGGGAACCCUGAUCCAGCCAUGCCGCGUGUGUGAAGAAGGCCUUUUGGUUGUAAAGCACUUUAAGCGAGGAGGAGGCUUACCUAGUUAAUACCUGGGGCUAAUGACGGUACCGUAAGAAUAAGCACCGGCUAACUACGUGCCAGCCGCCGCCGUAAGAC